AGGACUGAGAUUUAGAGAGCUGGCGACUUGAGCAAAAGAGAGGAGUGCGGACCGCAACAGAAUUGUGUUGCCGCGGAAGUCCCUUGCGUAGUCGCGAUCAAAGUUGUGCCAUCCGCAAGAUGAAGAAUCACUUUUAUACGGCCACAUAAUCUGGAGUGCGGCCGCACUUGUGUUGGCCCAAGCUCAGUUGAAGUUUUGA
rnacentral:lncRNA from 1 species